rnacentral:sRNA from 1 species
AGGAGGUGAGGUCUGGUGGGCGGGGCCUCAGCGUAGGCCUCAGGUCUCAGGGGAGCAGCACGCCUGAGCACCCCAGGACCUGCGCUCAGGGCUCCCACAAACGGUUUAUCGGUUUAUCGCUGGGGGACAGCCUGCAGGCUUCAGGAGGGGACACAAGCAUGGAGCGGCUUUGGGGUCUAUUCCAGAGAGCGCAACAACUGUCCCCAAGAUCCUCUCAGACCGUCUACCAGCGUGUGGAAGGCCCCCGGAAAGGGCACCUGGAGGAGGAAGAGGAAGACGGGGAGGAGGGGGCGGAGACAUUGGCCCACUUCUGCCCCAUGGAGCUGAGGGGCCCUGAGCCCCUGGGCUCUAGACCCAGGCAGCCAAAUCUCAUUCCCUGGGCGGCAGCAGGACGGAGGGCUGCCCCCUACCUGGUCCUGACGGCCCUGCUGAUCUUCACUGGGGCCUUCCUACUGGGCUACGUCGCCUUCCGAGGGUCCUGCCAGGCGUGCGGAGACUCUGUGUUGGUGGUCAGUGAGGAUGUCAACUAUGAGCCUGACCUGGAUUUCCACCAGGGCAGACUCUACUGGAGCGACCUCCAGGCCAUGUUCCUGCAGUUCCUGGGGGAGGGGUGCCUGGAGGACACCAUCAGGUAGGGAUGGCCCUGCCCCAUCCUGUUCUCGAGUGUCCCUCCCCUCAUCCGCUCAGACUGGGCCUCCCUGCCUCCUGGCCCAGGCCUCUGGUGUCUGGGUCCCCCUCCUGAGUCCUCCCAUCUGCCUUCCUGGCCCCCCUGUUCAGCGGUCCUGGGAAGGAUGGCAGGCAUUCGGAGCUGAGGUUCCAGGGGACUGAGGCUCUGAGGGUGGCAUAUUUGCGAGGUGAGGGAGCUGACUGUCUGAGAUCAGAGGGGUGCAGCAUCCAGUAUCAGACUGGACAGACCCAGAAAAGCCUUGAAUGCCUCACCCAGGAGCCUAGAUUUGGAGCAGGGAGCGCUGAGGGGUUCUGAGAAGCCGCAUUCUAGGGAAUCAGAAAACCAAGCAAGCAAGCCUGGGCAAUACGACGAAACCCCGUCUCUACCAAAGAAAAUACAAAAAUUAGCUGGGGAUGAUGGCGAGUGCCUGUAGUCCCAGUUACUUGGGAGCUUGACGGGGGAGGAUUGCCUGAGCCGGGGAGGCGGAGGUUGCAGUGAGCCGAGAUUAUGCCACUGCACUCCAGCCUGGGAGACAGAGCGGGACCCUGUUUCAAAAACAAAAUAACGGCAGGGUGCGGUGGCUCAGGCCUGUAAUCCCAGCACUUUGGGAGGCGGAGGUGGGCAGAUCACUAGGUCAGGAUAUCGAGACCAUCUUGGCUAAGACGGUGAAACCCCGUCUGUACUAAAAACACAAAAUAUUAGCCAGGCAUGGUGGCGGGCGCCUCUAGUCCCAGCUAUUCGGGAGGCUGAGGCAGGAGAAUGGCGUGAACCCAGGAGGUGGAGCAUGCAUUGAGCCGAGAUCACGCCACUGCACUUCAGCCUGGUCAACAGAGCGAGACUCCAUCUC